UUUCUUCAAUGAACCCUUCGGCCACCCAAAGCCUUAUGAGCCUGUAACUUUCAAUUGUAUAGUCUUCCGGAAAGCUGGAACAAUAUAAGAAGCAAUUUCGAAGGUAAUAGGGAAGAUCGUCAAAACUAAGUUUCAAAAUGUUAUGUACUUUUUCAUGGAGCUUCGAUUCGUUGUUAGUUAGAUACCACUCAAGAUCUUUGUAAACCUUCUCCCAUUCGGAACCUGUUUCAUCUCGAAAUGAUAAGAGACGGGCUAUAGAUACGAUAGCAAGGGGCAAGCCACCGCACUUCUCGACAACUUUUUUAGCACAUUGUUCUAAGGGCGGUGGGCAAAUCUUGUUUGCACUUUUCCAAAAUGCAUUUUUACAAAACAAAUCCCAUGAAUGACCUGCCUCUAGCGUCUUUAGCUCAAACAUACGGUUCUCGUUUGCUAAUAGUGCUACAUCGCGAAUCCUUGUUGUGAGAACUAUUCUACUCUUGCUAUUACUAUUCAGAAGUGCAUUCUUUAUAUUGUCCAGUACAUCAGUACUCCAAACAUCAUCCAGAAUAAGUACAUACUUUUUACACUGCAAAUAAGUGCGGAUAGUCUCAACCAAGCUUCUAUAAUCCAUGGUAUUAAUGUUGUUAGGUGCUUCUCCUUUCUCACGAUCUUUCCUAUAGAACUCUUUUAAGAUCUGUCUAAGCAAAUCAUCCGUCUCAUAACUUUGAGAUACAGCAACCCAGGCACAAGCAUCAAAAGAAGCUUCGAUGAUAUUGUACACAUGAGUCACGAGAGUGGUCUUCCCUAGACCACCCAUCCCCAAUACUGAGAUUAUCAUGGGCUGUCGUUGCUGCUCAUCCUCAUCUUUCAACCAUCUGAGCAACAAGUCCCUGUACUUGUCAAUACCCACGAUAUCAUCCUCCUCGACAAAAUGUGCUAAUUCUGCGGGGCUCUUGCUACCGCCAGCAGCUAUUAGAGGUCUUGCUUCAUUUUCCAUUCUGCUUGUAUCAUAUCGCUCCCUUCUUUCCUUAAUGUUUCGAAGCUUAACUUUGAUUUUGUUAAGCCUCUUGCUAAGGCGACGCCAAGUUGCUAUAUUUCUGCACAUCUUGACUGUUGUAGGCUGGACCCCUCCUUGCUCUUCACCGAGCUUGUAUGUGAACUCAUCUAUAAUAUCCUCAAUGUCGAAAGCCAAAUCUCUUGUUUGUUUUAUGAUGGUUGUUGUGCUCUCAUCCUUCUGUUUUAAUCUUUCAGCGAUCCGUAGGAAGGAUAGCAUGCUCUGAAGCUCACCCUUAAUGUCACUUAUAUCCUCCACAAGGUCUUCCAUUGCUGAUAUCCGUGUUAGUAAUCGUGAUGUUGCUGCUUUAGUUGCUUCACUAGCUAAGGUCGCACCGAUAUUUAGGAGUAAUGAGCUUACCACAGCCUCCGCCAUGGGCACUUCCUCUGAAUUGAGCCUAAAAUGUACAAUCUUUUCAAAUUACCAUGUCUCUUCAAAUGCACCACUAGCAAAAAUGAUUAUUUUUUAACGCUCUUAUGAUUCAAGGCAAUUUUUGUAAAAAAAUAUGUAAUUAAUUGUCUCAAUCGGAAUAACUCUGUAGUGCACUAAACAAACAUUUGUUAGAAUCCUCAGUUAAAAAAAAAGAAACACCAUUAACAGUAUUGUAGUCUGGAAGAACAAAAAGCAAUAACUUGUUCAAGAUUCAGUUUAACAAAAUUUUGAGAUUAAAGAUUCAUCAUAACUAGUCAUAUUGAACUCGACCUCAAUGUAUAUUUGUAGAUCAAGUUGUGAAAAAGUCCUUUAGAGGAGUAUGAAAUCAAUAAAGAGUUGGAAAGUAAAUCAAUCUGCUGCUAGCUAGUGAGUAGAUGGUAUCACAUUAAGCGUGAUUGUAAAUUAUUUUACAAUUAACAAUUAUAAAUCAAGUUUGUUUUGAAGCCCUCUUCUUGUUCAUAAUUAAGUUAAUAUUUAUCAGGACGAUAAGUCAUUUGAGCAAGAAACUAUUAGUGCUUUUUCAAAUAGUUUUGUUUUGAUAGAAAUAUAAGAACUUAAAUUUUAGACUCAUGAAACUCCCGUAUAUCUAAUAUGUUAAAUUUUAUUGCCUCGACAUUCAUAGUUUCAUACCGCCUAUUAUCAGACCAGAAUCUGAAAGUUCUAUUUCAACUUUUGUGAUUUGUGUUGCAAUUUGUAAAAGUUCUACAUUACUAGUUUUGAUAUUAACUGAGUUUUUUUUUUCCCAAAAUAAUUGUUAUCUUUGUGAGUUCAGCAGGAAUAUUUCUUAAGUGAAAUGACUUUGAUAUUUUUUUUUUUAUUUUUUUUUAUGAUGAGGCAUUUAAAUAAACGUCUUGUAUCGUUAAAUAUAAUCUAGAAUGUUUGCAUGGUUUAGAAACUGAAUUUUUUUUUUUUUGUCAUUAUCAUUUACCUAGUGAUCAAAUGGUCUUAAAAUUGAUAAUUUAACAAGUAAAACAAGACACUUUCUUCUUGUUUAACUGCAAAGAAAUAAAACCCUCUCAACUAUUUAGAUCAAGAGUUGUAACCAAGAUUGUGAAUUUAAGAUUUUUUUUUAAUUAUAUUUUUAGAAUGUCGCUAGUUUUGAACUUUCAAAUUAUGCCCACUUGGCAAGCCAGAAAAUAAAUUUUGAAAAUCAUAAAACUCUUUUUCUAGAAAGUUUAUGUAUCCUUUAGUAUAUUUAGCAUCUUGCAUGGUAUUGAUCAUCGAUUUAGACGCUCAAUCAUUAACAAUAAAGUGAAAGUAUAUAAUAAGGCCAAAUUAUUCUACCUUAAUUAUUAAUUAUCUCUUGUUAUUUUGUUACCAAAGAUCAAGUGAAUCGAAACAACAUAUAUAUAUAUUUGUAAGGACUGAGAUUUUGACAGUGUAACUAAACUCUCUGUUGACGAUGUUUAUAUGUGUAAUUUAAUUACAUAAGCACUCGUCAAGUUUCAGGAGAAAAUGAGCUAAAAUGGAGAAGAUACGCAAUUUUUAGUUUUCACUUAAGUGAAUAGUAACUCUGGUUUUCCGGAGAAGCCGCGGCGUAGAGUUGGCUUCUGGCACGUAUUGGACUUCGAACAUAGCAGUCCAAUAGCCCGUUUCGACCAGUUCAGCUAUUCUGGAACUAAUGGCGCUGACGAAUUUUGAGUUUGACGCACGGAUUUCGAGAAAAUCCAAAAAUACAUGUUUUAUAUGUAUUUGUGCGUAGUUCUUCUAUUGGAGAGUUGGAACGGUUCUCGCCGCGAAUCCGCGACCGAUCGAGAUGAACCAAAAUGGUAGCUAUGUUGUCUCCGUGGUGCUGAUCGCACUGGUGCAAUCCGUUCGCAAAUCUGACGGACGGACAAGCGGAGAUCGCACGUUGAUCGAGGAGAGGUUGGCGAUGGCAAAACGGUAAUUUCGCAAAAGUCGCGACAUUUUAUGUACCGUUUUACGCGAGAUCGCACGUGGAGGGGUAUUCGUGCAUUUUAUUCAAGCUGUGAGGGACUCGGAGCGAAAUAUCGAGUUUGGAGGGACUUUUGCACGAUUUAUCGCCUUACGUAUUUAAAGGCUUCUAGGGUUUUCCAUGAAACCCUAACCCUAAACCUAGCUCCAGCGAACCUAGCCGCCCUACCCCCCUUCUCCUCAUACGCCGCGCCCCUCCCGGCCGCCGCCGACCCAACCCCGGCCAGCAGCCAUCGCCACAGCCACCAUCUCCCACCUUCUUCUCUCUCCAUCUCCCUCAAUCCUCCUCUUUCUCUCGGGUUAGAUGCGGGCCGAGGCUACAUUGCCUCCAAGCACCUUGCCGAUGUCGCCCCCUGCCCCGGCGAGCCUCCCCGGCCGACCGCCGCCGCCCCUUGGGGCAGCGCCGCCGCCGCCGGGGCCAAUCCUGCAGCCGCCCCAGGUCUGCUCGGGCCGAGCAGACCUGGUAGCUCCAACCCCACGCCGCAGCCGCCCUUGUCCACCCCUGCGGCCUCCAUCAUGGCCUACGGUACCCCCUCCCCCGGCCGAAAGGGUCGCUGCCGCUGCCACGUGCCUUGGGCGCUGCCGCCCAAGGCUGGAGACCGAGCCAAGCUCGGCGCGGUUGCGCCCGAGCUGCGGGCUACCGCCGCCGUCGCCCGCCGCCUCCUCCUCUCCGUCCGGCCUCUAGGGCCCCGUCGCCGUCGUCCCUGGGCACCCCCGACCGCCGCCGGCUACAGCUGCACCGCUGAAACCCAAGCUCAGCAGUACGGGCUCGGGAUGUUCCAGCUUCGCCGCCGCUGCCUUCCGUCGCCGGCUGGAGCGAGCGCCGGUCUUCCCUGGCCGGCCGUACCCGUUCAUCGCCGGCUACCCCGCCGCCGGAGCACCCUGUCAACCGAGAUGAGCCUGAGCUCUCCUCGGGUUGUGCGGCUAGGGCAUCAUCGUCCUCCGCCUCCGCCACCUCCCGUCGUCGUCCGGUGCAAGCCCUGGUCUCCCCACACUGGCUGCACCCUCCUCUGCCAGCGCGUCCGCCGUCCGGCCUCCCGCGCCCUACCUUGCUCCGAUAAGCUUAGUUAAGAGCUUUUCUUGAGUAGUUUACUGUUCCGAGCAAUCCGAGGCUUCUCGAUCUCUACGGAAGGGAGCACAAUGAUUGUGACUCAUCGCUGAUCAUCGUGCUUACCUUAUUUUCUAUCGGGGAGGCUCCGUUACGCUGUUUCGGCGGUGUAGACCCUAUAAGAGCCUUUUUGGCUGCUGUUUCUGGUUUGCGUGCGUUGUUCCGGCGAUCCGAGGAUGUCCUGAUGCCUCCGGAGGUGAGAAUGGUGAUCGUUGGUCAGUGGCGAUCCCAGUGAUCACCUCACUUUUGAUCAACAGAGUCCGGUUAGUUCUGUUCGGCGUGUUUUUCCUCGACUGCGCGCUGUUCGCUGAACCUUCGGGUUGCUCCCGCGCUUCCCACAGUGAGUCAUUGUGCCCCAGAUCAUGAGCACGGCCUCCGGUACGUCGAGACCUGUCAGUACGUGUCUCGGCGGACCUUGGAAGUCCUUAGUUUGCGUGAACGAGCCAUGUCAUCGCCCGAUUUACAUAAAAUAUAGGGAUUUUACGUAAAGUGAGGGGCAUUUGUGCAAUUGUGCAUUAUGUGGCUACUGUGGGCAGUGCAUAUGUGUGUGUGGUGACCUCUGGACUGAUUAUCCAUGAUCCAUUAGCUUUUGCAGAAAUCGAAGAGUCGAUUUCGAUGCGUUUUGCGGCGAAAUUCGCCGAAAGAACGCGGUUUCGGUUCGGAUUUCUUCCAACGUGGUUUGUUUAUCCUGUGAAUUGUCGCUGAGCCUUGUUGGCUGGUCACCAUCAUCAUUUUGUGGGUUCAGUGAUGAUUGGUGAGCGACGGUGGGUUCCGGUGUCGAAAUAGACACUUUCGGGAACCCGGAUUCGUACAAUUAUCCGGCGAUAAUUUGUGUAGUGGUGUUAUCUUGUGUUUGCUGCCAAAACAUCCAAAUUGGAGUGUUUUGGGACAGCAGGCGACUCGUGACACGAGUCGGUGAGUUUCGGGACACUUAGUGGGUCCCGACGGCGUCCCAGUGUGGUUUUCGGGACUCCCGGCGAGUUACGGUAAUUGGAAUUGGGAAACCGAUCUUCGUGAAAUUGUUUGUGGGGUUGUGGAUACUGUGGUUAUUAGUUGUGGGUUAGAUACUAACCCGGUGAACCCUCUAUAGGUCCUGUCGAUAUUCUUUUGCAGUCAGGAGACAGACGCGACAUCCUUACAGGUGGCUACUUCGAUCCGACGUUGGUACAGUGGUGCAAGCUCGGUGAUGGUUUCUUACCCUUGCUCUUUUGUUAUUAUCCAUGCAUAUAUUAUAUGUUGAGCUUUGCACCUCUAUUGUUUACAUUACACCCACGUUGUUUGGUUAUACUCUGCUCGUUGUUUACAUGCUUAGUAUCCUGAGUAGGAGUAGAGUAGUUUAUCUGUAUGUGAUACCAUGUUUUCUUGUUGCUCUACUUGCCUGUUCUACAUAUCUUAUAUCAUGUUUAUAGUAGAGCGGUUCCGUGACUAUCUGUGAGAUUAGUGACCUAGUCGGUCGAUUCUAGUAUCCCGUAUUUGUGACCUAUUCGGUGAGUUCCUUGACUUUCGUUGUCCGAUGACCGUUAAGGUCGGUAUAACCUGAGGGGUGGUAUUGUCGGUUAGUUGCCGACGGAUGAUUAUAGUUUACUCAUAUCCACUAUUUGACAUGUUUGUGACCUAGUCAGUCAGUUCGUGACUCUUGUUGUUUCUCGUCGUUUGAUGACCUUUGAGGUCGGUGUACCCUGAGGGGUAGGAUUGUCGGCUAGUGGCCGACGGUAGUCCUAGAUUAUAUACUCAGAUGACUUGUUGAUCGAUUCUUGCAUAUAUACAGUAGUUAACUUAUUGAUCAGUAUCUACAUAUUUUUGGUAGGACGUUGAGUUGUUCCAUUCCAGUUGACUUGAUUAGUCAGUACUUGCAUACAGUUGAGAGGGUGUCGAGUUGUUCCAUCCUAGUUGACCUGAGUGGUCGGUUCUUGUACUUUCUUACAGUGGAUGAUCUUUUGGUCGGUUAGCCUCGAGGGGCGGUGAUUGUCGGCUGGUUGCCGACGGUUGGCCUUUGAGCAUAUCAGCAUUGAUCGCCCGACUCGUCGCAUUUCACGAACACUGGUGGUCUGAUCCACAGCAAGGAGUGUUCUUUUUCGAAAAAGUGGUUACUUGUGCCAACCCGUGAGCCCAGCGGUCAGGACUAGGUUAUAUGCAGGUAGAGUGGUAGUGGGCUUUUGCCUGAGGUCCUUAGACCGACACGGCGGUUUAGAUUGGGUAUUUUGGACUUCUUGUCCGGUUGACACAUAUGUCUAUAGUAGCAGUCGUUGCAUGCAUACUUACAGUUCUUACUUUAUAGUUGUCUUGCUACUAUAGUAGAUAUUCAUAUAUGCUUUCUGUUCCAGUUACAGUAGCGGUAGCCGUUAUUCAGUUUAGUUCCUACUUUCUUUCAGUUUAUUGCUACUGUAUUCAGUAUAUCUGCUCAUUACCUUAUAUAUCUCUUUCGUGUAUUAUUGUUGCUACUAUAUUUCCACUGACCCGUGUUGUUGUAUAACUCUUCCUGAUCCGGUGAGUACUCCUCGCCUUCUUCGGCUUGCUGUACCUACUGGGAGGGGAGACAUGUUUACAUGUUCUCUCCUCCCCCACUAUUUUUCAGGUAUCGCGGGCGAUGAGUAGUGGGACGAGACGUGAGGUACGUGUGUAGCGGUCGAUAGAGCCUCCGACCCAGAUUAUUUCGGUUUAGUUAUUACCCUUAUUAUUUUAGUUGUUAUAGCUUAGAUAGUUUAUAUGGUUCAGUAUUUUUAUUACAUUUGAAAUUUUGGGUUUUCAUGAGUGUAAUAAUCUGGUUUGUGAAUUUUGUAAAAUAAAAGGUUUUCUACCCCUCGUAAUAGCGUUUUUAAAAAGAUAAAAGUUUAUGUGUAGGAAAAUAAUUUUCAGAAGAUUUUCUGUGGAUUUUAUAUCUUAGUAUUUCAAAACCUGUUUCUUUGGUUGAAAACAUUUUAACUGAUAGAUGUGGAUUUAUGUUUAAAUAUUGAAUGUAUAAGUAUGAAACUGUGGUGAAUGGUGUAUGAAUGUAUAACUGUUGGUUAUUUGUAUGUUCGUCUGGUUGUGGUUGUAUCAUGUUUGAACUCUUGUACUUGUGCGACGCCGUGCAAAUACAGGGGAGACUCUACUCGUGUGAACAAUAGACCUCCUGUAUUUGUGGCGGAUCUGGCAUACUCUGGGGUCAGGUUUUCAAAAAAAAAAAAUUUCAGACGGUUUUCCGCUAUGCUUUAAACUAAAAAGGGACCCCGGGGCGUGGCAGAUUAAAAUGGUAUCAGAGCCAAGUUACAACCACAACACCAUUCAUAGGUUGUUUUGAAAAGUAAAUGAAACUGAACCAUUGGUUAGGUUGAACCAUAGGAAGACCUACGGUAUAUAGGAACGUGAGUGCGGGGUUUGGGCUUGAGUCCCGGUGUGCAUGUCGAGUUUGGUAAACUCGAAUACACGAUUAUUUCCUUAUGUACUACGAUUUUUGCAAAGCUGGUGUCCUAGUCGGGACUAGUGGCGGUGCUUCUUUUUGGACAUUGAGUGGUGGGGCGGUAUUCCCCAAGUGUUGCCACUCCUGUCAGGUGGGGCCUUGAAGGGCCAGGUGAUCUUCGGGUCUAGGCGAGUGUCAUAACUGCCGACGCCCAGGCCACUCUCUCUACUUAGGACACGAGAGCUGUUGCGAGUGUCUCUACGGAGACGGCAUUGUGAUCAGUUACGAUCGUGACUUCAAUGGGGCUAUUAGGGCGUAGCCCAGGGUUUGGUUAGCGGUCGUUUAGGCGACUGCAUUGUUAGUGUUGCUUCCGCAGAUCUUUGGGUAGGGUUGCGAUGCCUACCUCUCUUCCUUGAUUACUGAUUAGAAUUAGCGGUUUGGGUCUUUUGACCUUGAACUAGUCCUUUCGCCAAAUUGACGUGUACUAGAGUCGGAUUGACACAGUUUUGGUGUCAAGUUUUCGUUGGGGCAUACAUCGUAUGCGGAUAUUCUAACACCUAAAUUGGUGUGUUGUGGGUUAGUUGUAGUUGGUGAUAGGUUUCGUCUUGAUUCGAGAGACUCCAGGUUGUUGUAGGAAUUCUCGGAACUUUGACUAAAGCUCGGUUGUGGUGUGAAAAUCGGUUAGAGAAACCAUUUCUUAAAGCCUCAGUCCGUGUGGUUCGCAGCUUAGUGUUGCUAGUAGCCUUCGGAUGUUGAAAGUUAUAGGACUCCCUGUGAGUCGGUUCAGGGUCGUUCUAAUUUCGAAUGUCGACUUGUAAAGUUGAUGUUUCGAUAGUAUUGGUUGUGAGCUUCUGGUUCAGUUAAGAGGUAUCAAGGGGCUUGAUACUUCGACGUGUCACACUUCCAACUCGUUGUUGAUAAUGGAUCUUCGGAUAUUUUGCUUUUCUUUUGAUAAGUAUAUUGGCUGCAGACAAUAUACUGUUGAAAGAGUGACGAAAUACUAUCUUCCCGUUUGGGACUUAUGGAUUGGGUCGAUGUGUUCUCUAGAGUGUCUUGUGGGAAAGCUUGAGUGUCGAUCUUUUCUGACCACGUAGCGAGCCUUGGGUUAUUCCUUAGUAGGUUUGGCACAGUUGACUUAUCGUCACUGAUAAAGGGGUUUUGACUCUAGUUCGAGUCUGGGUGUUCGUAGCUCUUAGUUGUGCUUCCCACAGUUAAAAGGUUUGCUUGGUUAGUAGUCUCGGUCUAUUUGCCGGGAGGUUCGAAAUCAGUGAUUGAGUGACUUGAGCCUGGUGGUUGGCCUUGAUUGUCACCAUAUAUGAUAGCGUAUAAGGUUGUGACUCGGCUUAGCGUGCAAAUCUUGGAAGGCUAUACUUGUCCGAUUAUUUGGUGACAGGUACGCCUGGGUCUCAAUGAGAUAGGCAUUUGGUGUUGCUCGGAACAUCGAUCGCUAGGGUCCAUGAUAGGACGGCAGCGACAGGGUCUUGUUGAGACAGGUGUUGAGCAUCACCAACGGUUAGUAUCGCUUUUGUGAUUGGCGACCUAUGCAUCAAGUGAUGGACUUGCAAAGAGCUUUCAGUGGUCUGUUGGUACCGUAUUAAGUUUGAGGAGACAUUGUCUAGCCCAAUUGGUAUCGUCAGUUGGACCUUUUGGUCAGAUGUAAAGUAACGUCUUGGACCUAGGACUAUAGAUUGUCGCAGAUGGCUUUAGGUUGAUGAGGUUUUGACAGUUUGUGUGGUUACUAGUGGAGACUGUGGUCUCCGGUGUGAGUGAUUUUGACUCGAAUUUUAGAACAACGUUUCUUAUUCGCUCGUGGUGAGCAAGUUGACGUUGUUGGCUAGUCAGAGUGUGUCUUUUCGGCCUAUAAAAAUACACUCCAGACUUGUGGUGUUGACUCGUGUCUCUUCUACGUGAACCUUCGACGUAAUCGAGUCGGUUACUGGUAUGCGGAUCAAGGUUGAGUGUAUUUAGAAUUUCUAAGUGGAGAAUUUUUAUCUCAGAGUUGGUAAUUGGGGAUCUGAUAAUCCUAGUCGCGGGAUUGUCUUUGUCCGCAGGUUAUAGGAUAAUGUUGAUCCCGGUGAGUUUUGGUCUGUAGAUUUUGGGUUGUUACGUUUUCCCUCGAUUUGUCCUGGAGGAAUCGUAGUCCUUGGUGUCUCCCCUUCUUCGGAGGUUGAGCUGUCCAAAUGAAUGGUGACUGAUCAGUACUCAAAGGUGAUAUCACAGAGGUGGAAGUAAUAUCCGAAUUUGAUUUUGGUGGGUAUGUGGUCAAGUUUCGGGGACGAAACUUCUUUUAAGGGAGGGAUAAUAUAAGGACUGAGAUUUUGACAGUGCAACUAAACUCUCUGUUGACGAUGUUUAUGUGUGUAAUUUAAUUACAUAAGCACUCGUCAAGUUUCAGGAGAAAAUGAGCUAAAAUGGAGAAGAUACGCAAUUUUUAGUUUUCACUUAAGUGAAUAGUAAUUCUGGUUUUCCGAAGAAGCCGCGGAGUAGAGUUGGCUUCUGGCACGUAUUGGACUCCGAACAUAGCAGUCCAAUAGCCCGUUUCGACCGGUUCAGCUAUUCUGGAACUAAUGACGCUGACGGAUUUUGAGUUUGACUCACGGAUUUUAAAUCAUUGAAUUUAAAAUUUAAAUAGUAAUAUGAAAUUCCUCUAGAGAAAACUAAUUGUAGAAAUCUUACUCUUUAAGUUUUUUAUGCAUUACGUUUUAAACUUGUGCGAAUAAACUGUCUUUUAAAUCUUGGUAGAAAUUUAGUUUUUAAAUAGUAAUAUGAAAUUCCUCUAAUUUAAAUUUCACUUUUAAAUUUUAAGUAUUUAAUUUUUAAAAUUUAAAUUCAUCGUAUUUAGAAAUAAAACUAUUUCUAAAAUUUCUAUAAUUUAAAUUAAUGCAUAAUUUGAGAAACACUAAAACAUUUAAAGUAGAUUCCUAAAUUAAUGCCUAAUAAUUGCAUAAAUUUGGUUAAUCAAUUAAUUUUCUAAAUUAGUGCUAAUUAAUGCAUAAAUUUAGGACCUCAAUUAAAAGUUUCUUUAAAUAUUAUAUUAUUUAAUUACCAAACUAACCUUGAAUAAAAUAAUCCUUUUACCUGCUAAGUAUUAAAGUUAUAUUUUUACUCUCUAUUAAUCAACGGUUAAAUUUUUUUUUUUUUUAUUUUUUUAAAGUACCGAAUCAUUUCUCCCAAAAUAAUUAAUCUGAAAUUUAACUAGAGAAAAUACCGCAACCAAAGAAGCUCUUGAAGCAUAUGGUUUAGAGCUUGAGGAGUGAGAGAUGAUCUGGACGAACAGUGCAGCAACCAAGAAACAUCUUUCCUCUUGACUUCUCCCAUCAGCACUUGAGUGCAGUGGGCCAUGAUGAAUUAAUUUUAGGGAAUCUUUUGAUUAUAUACCUUUUACUCCUUAUCAAAAUUUUUUAAUUUAUUUUGAAAUUAUCAAAAUAUUCUUUCAAAAUCAAAUCUUAUUAGUAAACCGCAGCAAAAAUGAGGAUAUUUGAAGAAAUUAUUUAAAAUCAGUAAGUAUAUUUUGAUCCUCCAGGAGUAAAUAUAUAAGAUAUUUUGAAGUUUUGAAGAACAUAUUAGAUAUUAUUUUGAAAUUUUAUACAUAGGAUGAAAACUUCGAUUAACUGCCCUGUGGCCCAGCGUGUUAUAUGCUUCGUCGUACUGUAUUUGAGAUAUCUAAAGUAUAUAUAUGCUUCGGCAUUCUGUGUUCAAAAAGUCUGACAAAAUUUUUUACUUUGUCAAUUCUACAUUCGGAAAGUUUUACUAUGUUGUUAUAUAAUUUUACCUUUUGUUUGAGAGUAAAUUAUUCGGUCCUCAAAUUAUGAGACACGUGACAUUUCGGUCCUUAAAUUUUAAUUUGUUGUAAUUUUUAGCUUUUAUACUGCAUAUUACAUUUUAGUUCUCGAACUUUAAUUAGAUUGUAACGUCCCAGCCCACUAGCAAAAAUAAUUCGUUGGGCCCAAACACUGGCCCAAAAUGCUUAGCCCAGUUAUUAUUACCAGUGUCUAAGUCUCUUAUAUACCCAAUCAUAUCCCCAUUUCUAUUUUCGAUGUGAGAUUAUUGGGGUGACUCGUCUCGCUAGCCUUGUCAUCCAGACCCUGGCAUAGCCGGCUAUCUUGUUAUUCAGACUCUGGCAUACCCGAUCACCUUGCCUUUCAGACCCUGACUCAGUCUCGCUAGCCUUGUCAUCCAGACCCUGGCAUAGCCGGCUAUCUUGUUAUUCAGACUCUGGCAUAGCCGAUCAUAUUGCCUUUCAGACCCUGACUCAGUCGAGAUUCGCAAUACAUUUUUGGCUGGUGAACCGGCUCUGAUACCAAAUGUAACGACCCAGCCCACUAGCAACAAUAACUCGUUGGGCCCAAACACUGGCCCAAAAUGCUUAAGCCCAGUUAUUAUUACCAGUGUCUAAGUCUCUUAUAUACCCAAUCAUAUUCUCAUUUCUAUUCGAUGUGGGAUUAUUGGGGUGUGACAUAGGUGUAAUUCUAGCUCGACGGAUAAGGCAUGUGAUAUUUUGACUUGCUGAAUUAUUGGAAUUAAAUUUCACAGCCUAUUUUUUUAAAAUAAAUAUGGAUAAAAUAUUAAAUAUCUAAUUAAUGCAGCAUUUUAAAUAUUGUUGCAUCAUCAAAUAUGAUAUUGUUACAAUUCAAAAAGUUCGAAGAUUAAAAAGUUCUAUUUUAACUUCUUUGAUUUGUGCUGCAAUCUGUAAGAUGUUGUAGAAGGUCAUCUCGUUGUACAUUAGCAAGUUUAAAUCCAAAGAAAAUCACUAUCAAUUAAUUGCAUUCUCUGUAUGCCAAAAAGAAUUACUCUCUGAUUGCAUGCACCGUUUGGUUUGGGAAUAGGGAUAGGGAUAGGCUCUUAUCCCCCCCUUUAUACCCAAACGCUAAUUUUUUAUUCGAGAAUAGUAGUUCUCGGUUAUCCCCACCAACACCUUCAUUUUCUAUAUAAAACUUUCUAAUAUUUUUCUUAUCCUCGGGAACAACCCAAUUUUCAUCCAAACGCUAUUUUUCUUAUCCUCAUACUUGUACCUAUCCCUGUAAUAACUAGUUCUUGCUUAUACCCGAACCAAACGGUAUAAUAGAGAAUUAAAUAGCUUAUAGCAAAGAAAAUAAAAAACAAGAACACUUGGAACUUAAAAAUUAAUUAAAAAGAAUAAGUGGAAGAGGAACAACUGACCACAGAUCCAAGGAAGAGAUUGAAGAGGGGGCUGCUCCAAAUAUCAAAUUUGAUAAGGAAAUAAAUAAUUGGGCGCAAAUGAUUUGGACAGUACAGCUAUUGAUGGAGAAACUUCUUCCCUCUUUAUUAUCAGAGAUUCUAUUAUGUAUCAGUCAUACCACAUCAUCUAUUAAAAGUCAAUUAUAUCCCUUCUUUUGAGUAAAAAAUAUAAUAAAAAUAUUUUUCUAUUAACCAUGAUGGGAUGGGUGAACAAUCAUAAAGGAACAAUUUGAUUGGUAGAUGACGACACAUCACCAAUACAACUAAUACAUUCUAGAUUUUUUUUUUUUCCUUUAAUGUUCCUAGCAGCACUUGAUUGCAGUGGGCCAUGAUGAAUUAUGGGCCUGUUUCGCCAAUAUUCUAAAAAAUAAUAAUUUUUACAGGAUUAAUUUUAAUUUAGAAAAUUAAUUUUAGUUAAAAAUUGUAGGGCGCUUAGCUUAAUCUAACAAAAAAUUGAUUUUUUUAAAAUUUUCUUUAUUAAUUAUAAUUAAUAAUUUUUUGUCAAUCUUAUUUUAAAAUUUGAAUUCAAAAUUUGAAUUUGAAUAUAAAGUUUUUAAUUUUAAAGUUAAACAAUUAAAAAUUUAAAUUUAAAUUUAAAUUGUUAAAUAAUAGAAAUAAAUUUGAAUUUUCAAUUUUCAAAUUUUAAAUUCCAAAUUUCAAGCUUAUAAUUUAAAAUAUAAAUUUUAAAAUUUAAUAUUAUUUUAAGAAUUUCGCAAAAUAUAAUUUAAAAUUUAAAUUUAUUUGAUAAUUUAAUUUAUUUUAAUAAUUAAUUUUGAAAUUGUAAAUUUCAAAAAUUUAGAAUUUUCAAAUUAAAUCUAAAUUUUAAAUUGAAAUUAAAGGUUUAUAUUUUAUUUAUAAUUUAAAAUUUAAAUUUGAGAUUUGAAAUUAAAAACUAAAAUUUUAUUAUUAAAUUUAAAAUUUAAACUUUCAAAUUGAAAAUUUAAUUUAAUUUUAAAUUUUAAAAUUGAAUUUUAAUUCGAUUUUAAAUUUUGAAUUUAAUAUAAAAUUUGAAUCUUAAUUUUAAAUUAAAUUUUGAUUCCAAGUCAAAAAUUAGAUUUAAAAAGUAGGUUUUAACAAUUUAUUUUGGCUCAAAAAUCAGAAAAUUGAACCAGAUUUUGGAAGAAGUUAUCAUAUACUCUAUUGAUAAAAAAAAACUAUAUAUAUAUAUAUAUAUAUAUUAGGCUGGAAUACUAUUAAUAGUAAAACGCUCUUUUUGCUAUCAAGUUUUUAACCCUUGAUGAAAAAUUGAUAGGGUUAGGAUAAUAUUAGUCGGUUAGAGUUGAGUGGUCCCCCUAGGUUGAGUGGUGCCCACUAGGUUAUAGUAUUUAAUCCAAUGGUUAGAAAUAAUAAAAAGAGUUGAUCCAAAGGCCUAAAAAACUGAUAGCAACAAUAAAAUUUGCUACUAAUAGUAGCCCAGUCCAUACUAUAUAUAUAUAUAUUAUAUAAUAUAUAUUAAGAGUAAAAGACUUUGUGUUUCUGACUUUCUAGUCUUGGAUCAGGUUCUUUGAUUAUUUCUAACAUUGAAUUAUUAUCAUCCUAUCAGCCGCUCAAUCCUAGGAGCACUAUCAUUCCAACUUAAUACAACUUUUUAAUCAAGGGUCAAAAAGUUGGAAGCAUCAAGUAGAGAGAAAGAGAGAGAGAAUUGGACUAGAAUACUAUUAAUAGUAUUUUGGCUCUUUUACUAUCAAAUUUUUAAAUUUUGAAUGAAAAAUUAUAGAAUUAGAAUAAUAGUGGUGUUGGUAUAGUGGUGAUCCCCCUAGGGUUUAAACAAAACAAGUUAAGUAAUAGUUAAUUCAAUUGUCAUAAUGUCACGUUAACCGGCAGAAAUUAUCUGGCUACUUAUUCUACCAAAGUAAAAUUUCAUCUAAAAACUGAAAUAAAUUUUGAUCAGUGAUCUAAUUGAAAUAGAAGUUAAAGUUCGAUAACUUGAUUUGAAAAAAAAAAAAAAAAAACUAAAAAUUUUAUGAAGUAAAUGAAAUUUCAGGAAAAAUUAGGCGACUAAUAUUGUAUUAGACUUAAUUAUAUGCAAUUACUUGUACAUGUGUACGACAUAUAUACUUAAAUACAUCAUAUUGAUAUACACUUUCAUAUGCGUAUAUAUAUUAUUUAAUUACUCUCUCCCUCUUCCUCUAUCCUGCACUUAAUUUCUAUCUUUAAGCCAAUUUAAAUAUUGGGUUAGUUGACUUUGAAUAAGUAUAAAGCGAACCAAAUUUUAAUUUUUUUCAUCUUAUUUCAUUUUCGUGUGAACAUGGUGGAAUCGAGUUUUUAUACUAAUCAAAUAUAGGGAAACAAACAACCCGCCCCUCGUCCGCAUGGUGCCACUCCUAUUUAUAGGCAAAUCCUGGCAGAGACCCAGCCUGAGAGAGGAACCCCCAGCCACUUCCGGCGGCGCCGGAGACGGAAGAAGGGAUUAGAGGAAAGAUUUGCAGAGACAGGAGAAUUAGGAUGCACAUGGGGAGCAAAGAGAAGAGAUACCGCAACCACAGGGGCACACCGGCCAAACCUGACGCAGAGAUGUAACGGGCGUACGUCGGCCGCAGGAGAAGGUCAGCAUAGGGCCCGACAAGCAUCCGACAGGGAGAGGGGAUGGGGCCCGGCUCGGAGAGAGAACGACUCGGAGAGACACGGGACGGGAGGCACGUGACGCCGCUCGUCGCCAGCGAAGGAAGCGGGCAGAGCUGAGGAGGCGGGGGGUCGCUGGGGAGGCGACGCGUGGCGGUUUAGGGUUCGACUUUUAUUAUAUGUAUAGAUAACCUUAUAGUGAUAAGAGUUAAUUUCAUGAGUACAUAUAUACCCUUCCGUCCACCUCUAAUUUUGUCAAUAUUAAAAAUGAUCUUUUAAUUUCAAGAAACUAUUCAAAUUACUUUAUUAACUCAGUUUAAAAUUGUAUGCUAAUUAUUUUUUUCCUUUAAAAUUGUACUAUUCAUUUCCAGCAUAUAUAAAAUUUGUUGAAAUGAAUUCUGUUUAUUGCCCAUACCAUUAUAUGGAGCUAGACUGGUAUACUAUCGGUAGUACGGAGGCCUCCGUGCUAACAAGUUGUUUUUUAAUGAUACGGCUUUUAAAUCAACGAUCGGCUCCAGUAGACUUGAUCUACACUAGAAAAAGUAUUUGAAAACUAAAUUUUGUAACUUUUUGACAUUAUUUGACUAGUAUCCUUAAUUAUCUUUCAUAGUAUUGAUCAUUGAUUUAGAUGCUCAAUUAUCAACAAUAAAGUGAAAAUACUACAUGAGGCCAAAUUAUUCUACCUUAAUUAUUAUCUCUUGUUAUUUUGUUUCCAAAGAUCAAGUGAAUCCAAACAACACAUUAAUCAACAAAGACAUAUAGCAUACUUCUUGAACCCUUUUGCAGAAUCAACUACUUGAUAGCAAAGAAAAUAAAAAUUAAUUAAGAAGAGUAGGGGAAGAAGAAGAAGAACAACUAACCACAGAUCCAGAAAGGAGAUUGAAGAGGGAGCUGCUCCAAAAUAAUUAAUCUCAAAUUUAACUAGAGAAAAUACUGCAACUAGAGAAGCUCUUGAAGUAAAUGUUUUAUUAGGGAUUGAGGAGUGGGAGAUGAGGAUGAACUACACAUUAUAAACAAGAAACUGGGAGCAAGUGAUUUGGACAUUGCAGCUACCAAGAAACUUCCCUCUUGACUUUUCGCAUCAGUACUUGGUUGUAGUGUGCCAUGGAAUUAUAGGGGCUCCUUUUGAUUAUUUGCCUUUUACUACUAUUCAAAAUUUUUAAAUUUAUUCUAAAAUUACUAAAAUAUCUAUGUAAAAUCUAAUCUCAAUAAUAAUAAAUGGCCUUUUUGCAUAAAAUAUCUAUUAGUUUCGAGAUUUCAUAAAAAUGGGUCACUAUUUUGAAUUUUACAAAUUCAGCUCAAAUUUUUAGAAAACUGACUAAAAUAUUCUUAUUCCUCUCUCUCUCUCUUUCUCUCUCUCUCGCUCUCGCUCUCGCUCUCUCUUUCCCCCCGACCCUCCUUGCCUCCUCCACCGUCUUUGCGACGUCGACCUUCGGCGACGGUAAGAAGGAUGUUGCCGCCUCCUCUUUCUCCGCCUUCCCCAAUGCCGGUGCCGGCAUUGACGCUGACGCUGAAGGAAGAGGACUUGGAGCGGGCGCGAAUGAGGGCGGAGUAGAUGGAGGCGAUGAGUUCGUGGCUGUCACACCCCAAUAAUCUCACAUCGGAUAUGAAUGAGAAUGUGAUUGGGUUUAUAAAAGACUUAGACACUAGUAAUAAUAACUGGACUUAAGCAUUUUGGGCCGAUGGUUGGGCCCAACAGUUAUUAUUGCUAGUGGGCUGGGUCGUUACAUUUGGUAUCAGAGCUGAUUCACCAGCAAGAAAUGUGUGGUGAGUCUCGGCUGAGUUAGGGUCUGAAAGACAAGAUGAUAGGCUAUGCCGGAGUCUGAAUGACAAGGUGGCCGGCUAUAGCAGGGACUGGAUGACAAGACUAGCGAGACAAGUCUCACAUCGCAUGGUGAUCUUGCGCUGUGUGUGUGAUUGAACUGACUAGUUUGUCACACCCUAAUAAUCCCACAUCGAAUAUGAAUGGAGAUGUGAUGAUACUAAUAAUAAUAAUUGGGUUUAAGCAUUUUGGGCCAGUGGUUGGGCUGGGUCGUUACAGUAGCCGAGGCGUUGCUCGCUAUCGCACGUGAUGGUGAGAAUGAAGUUGCGCCCGCGCUUCUCCAAUGAGCGAAUAAAGAUGCAAAGGAUAGAAAAUAAAUAAAUAAAAAUAAAUAAAUAUUUUUUUUCUUGAAAGACCAUUGUGUAUCAUAAAUAAAAAUAAAAAAUAUUUUUUUCUUGAAAAUCAUUAUAUAUCAUCGCUCCUACAGAAAUGAUCAAGAAUCAGAGAAGAAGGAAAAAGAAUAUAAAGUUGUUAUUAAAAUAAAGUUGCAUUAUUUCACAAGAAAAUUACAUUUUUCGAGACGAAUGUUGUAUUUUUUGAUACAAAAAUUAUACUUUUUGAGCAAAGUUAUAUUAUUUGAGCGAAAAUUGUACUCUACCUACCAUCCGAUUAUCGUCUUGAAGCGGCUCCUCCUCGCCUUCCUCCUCACGCUCAUCUGCACCUCCGAGGCUCCUUUUCACUCAAUCAAGGACGGGCUCAAGGCGCUCUUUGGCAUUGCACUCUACCCGCUCAACCGCUCUGUGUUGGUUGAGCUCGGCGCCAUGUCCGCACUCUUCUCCCUUGUCGUUAUUUUGCAUUCGUCACGCUUUACCCGCUCAACCGUCCUGUGCUGGUCGAGCCCAGCGUCGUGCCCGCACUUUUCUCCCUCAUCGUCAUUCUGCAUUCGUCACGCUCUACCCGCUCAACCGCCGAUGCUGGUCAAGCUCGGCGUCGUCCCUGCGCUUUUCUCCCUCAUCGUCAUUAUGCAUUCGAAAAGUUUUAGUGUUAUAUAAUUUUAUAUUUUGUUUUGGGGUAAAUUACACUUUUGGUCCUCAAACUAUGACGUGCGUGAUAUUUUAGUCCUCAAAUUUUAAUUUAUUAUAAUUUUUGGCUCGACUUAUGCGAUACAUUUUAUUUUAGUCCUUAAACUUUAAUUAGGUAUAAUAUCUGGCUCGACCUUUAAGACCUGUGACAUUUUAGUCCUUGAACUUGCUGAAUUAUUACAAUUAAGUCUCACAACCAAAUUUCUUUUUAAAAUAAGUAUGGAUAAAUUAUUUGUAUUCAACUAAUAUAGUAUUUUAAUUAUUAUUACAUCAUCAAAGACGAUAUACUACAAUUCAGAAAGUUCAAGAACUAAAAUAUCACAUGCUUUACAAUUUAAGCUAGAAAUUAUAACUAAUUAAAAUUUGAGGACAAAAGUGUCACUAACCUUAUAGUUCUAACGACAAGUUAUAACAAAUUAAACUUUGAGGACGAAAGUAUCACGCGUCACAUGGUUUGGAGGUGAAAAGUGUAAUUUACCGUUUGUUUUACCAUAAAAAAAUAUUAUUAAAUAUAAUAGUAAAAUAUUAUGAUUCGCAAAUUAUACAAAAAUGCUAAAUUUUGUAGGUCAAAUUAUGUAAAAUAUGCGCUGACGCACAGCAGCUACGCUGUGGUUUUUGUAAUGGUCCGCCAAAUAGAGUAUAUCCCUGACGCGCUUUGGCCGCUGAGUCCUGAAAUAUUGUUAAAAUCAAAAAUAAAAAAAAGACGCGGAGAAGACUCGCACGACCCACGCGAGUCGUCUCCGCGUAGGGACCCAGUGAUGCUACCAACUAUACAUAUAUACUCCCUGCACCUGGUGUACUUUUACAUAUAUAUAUAUAUAUAUAUAUAUAUAUAUUGUAAAUAAUAUUUGGUAAUCAAUAUUUUAAAAUUAAGAAAGGAGCUGGGAGACGAUGUACUUUAUAUCUGGGAUAGGUGGAUGGUUAAGAAAGGAUUGCAGAAUACGAGGCAUAAUCUUUUUGAAUUGGUUGCGUACUGGUAGGUUAUUUGAAAGACUAGAAACGAUUGAUUUUUCCGAACAUCCAAUUCCGAUAAUAAUUUUGUUGAUAGUUAAUAGAAAUUCUGUGCACAUAGUAAUUAAUGACUUUGGAAAUUCAUAAUUUCGUGCUCAAAACUCCAAUUCCAAUAAAAUUUAGUUUAAUUAGAUGAUCGUCUCAGAGUAUCUUUUGUAUAGCAGGACUUUCAGUUUUUGAAAAUUAUGAGAAAUAUUACAUAAAAUAAUGAUGAUUGAGAGAUGAUUGUCUUUUUCUGAAUUUCAUAGAUUUUAUCAAAGAAAUUUUAAAUCCACCAAAAAUGCACCAAGUUAACUACUAGACCUUACAAAUAAGCCCCCACGAGUAUUAAAAACCCUCGGGAGCUAAGAAAAAUAAAUUCACCAAAAUUGACUUCCGUUUGUUCAAAUAAAAAUAAAUCCAGAUCGUGCUAUUAUUACAUAAUAGUGUAAUAAAAUAUGAACGAGGCUAUUGUACUAUUAAUAGCACCGAGUUAUUGGUGCUAUUAGGGUUUUGGCCAUUGGAUAAAAAAAAUGUAAGGUUAGAAUAAUAAUGGACCUCUAGGGUUGAGUCGAUGGUUUGUUGAAUAGUAUGAUCUAACGGGUGAAAAUAAUCAAAUGGAUAAAUUUAACAGCAAAAAACUUGGUAGCACCAAGGAGGAGGGUAAACUUGUAAUCUAGAUAAUUGCAAGAUUACCCGCCAGUAAUAAUACGAGAUACCCACUCUCAUUCGAUAAUAUUUUCGGAAUAGUCUUACAUCAUUUGUAAUGCUACUUUGCCAAUUAAAUUAUAGACUGGAUGAACCAAAUAUAAUAAUCUUAACAAAUUUACAUAUAAUUUUGACAGGAUAAUCCGAAUAUUAUAUGACAGGAUAAUCCGAACCAUCCUUUGUGAAUUAUGAAAGUGAUCAAUUUUGUUAAUCAUAAGGUCUACGUGAAUGCGGCCUACGCGCAACGGACGGGAGUUCUGAAAUUAAAAUAAAAAAUAAAAAAAAAAAAGAACACGGAGAGGACUCCCAUGACUCGGUCUACUUCCGUACAUGUAAAUUAUAAAUAAUAUUUGGAAAUUAGUAUUUUAAAAUUAAAAUCUAAUUCAAUAUAUAUUUGAUUUAUAGUAUUUAAAAGGAGGGUUUUUUAUAAACAAUUCUAUGAAGUUUUACAAUUACAAAAAUAUUCUUCUACAAAAAUUACCUAUAAAAGUAGGCCUCUAAUAUGCCAGGUGAGAUAGUCCGCUGAUAAAAUAUUGAAAGUGGUAAAUAAUUUACCAUAUUUAAAAGCAGCCAAGUAUUUACCGUCGAUAAUGGCAUGUUUGUUUGUUAAUAUAGGUUCGACAGGUGGGAUAAGUGUAUUCACAGUUCCUAGUAAGAUUAGGUCAGAGAUUGCACUGUUCUAUAGAUAGCUAGUAUUGGAUUAUGAUAGUAUAGUGACAUAUAGCUGUAGAUUGUUUUCAGUUCCUUUAAUAUCAUUGAGCAUACUUUCUGUAGACUUAGUGGGUGAACCGUUCAGAUCGGUAGCGGUGCCCACUGAGGACUACUUUUUGCAAUAGUUCUCACGCCCUGUUGUUGACUCUUUUUGCAGAGCCUUCUGUUAUGGCUGCUGCUAUUGCUGAGAUUGAUCGCGGAAAAGGUCUUGCGAGUUAGAGUCCUUCCUGACUAGUUGCAGAGCUAGAUGAGUAUCUUCUACAGGUAGUGUUAGUUUUUUGUUCUUAUACAUACUGAUAUUAGUAUCUCGCCGGAGCUAGAAUUUUUGUAUCAAAAUACUAUGUAUAUAUAUAUAUCGCGAAGCUCUGUUAUUAUAUACGUAUUUCUUUUUAAUAGCUCUAUAUUAUUUGUUUUAGUAUUGUAUGAUUACAGAUACAGAUACAGCUAUCACUUCGUAUACAGGAGAAAUUCCUAUAUAUACGGCGGGUCUGUUAGCGUACCGAAAAAAUGAGUAAUCCGGGGGCGUGACACUAAUAAUUUUGUUGAUAGUUAAUAGAAAUUCCGUGCAUGUAGUAAUUAAUGACUUUGGAAAUUCAUAAUUUCAUACUCAAAACUCUAAUUUCCAUAAAAUUUAGUUUAAGAUGAUCGUCUCAGAGUAUAUUUUGUAUAGCAGAAUUUUUCGUUUUAAAAAAUUAUGAAAAUAUUACAUAAAAUAAUGACUUGAUUGCGAGAUGAUUGUUUUAAUUUUCUGAAUUUCAUCGAUUUUAGCGAAGAAAUUUUAAAUCCACCAAAAAUGCACGAAGUUAACUAUUCCACCUUACAAAUAAGUGACCACCAGUAUUAGAAACCCUUGAGCUAAGAAAAAUAAAUUCACGAAAAUUGACUUCCUUUUGUUUAAACAAAAAUAAAUCCAAAUCGUGCAUUCAUUAUAUAAUAGAGUAAUAAAAUAUGAACUAGGCUAUUGUACUAUUAAUAGCACUAAGUUAUUGGUGCCAUUAGGGUUUCGGCCAUUGGAUGAAAAAAUGUAGGAUUAGAAUAAUAGUGGGAUAAUUAAGUAGAUGGUUUGUUGAAUAGUAUGAUCUGACAGCUAAAAAUGAUCAAAUAGGUAGAUCUAACGGUGAAAAACUUGAUAGCACCAGGAGAGAAGGUAAACUUGUAAUUUAAAUAAUUGCAAGAUUACCCGCCAGCAGUAAUAUGAGAUACCCACCCUCAUUCCGUAAUAUUUUCGGAGUAAUCCUACAUCCUUUGUAAUGUUACUUUGCCAAUUAGAUUAUAAACUGGAUAAACCAAUUAAAUAUAAUAAUCUUGACAAAAUUACCUAUAAUUCUGGCAAGAUAAUCCGAAUCAAAUACACCCUUUGUAAAUUAUGAAAGUGAUAAAUUUUGUUAAUCAGAAGGUCUACAUGAAUGCGGCCUACGCGCAGCGGACGCGAGUUCUGAAAUAAAAAUAAAAAUAAAAAAAAGAACGCGGAGAGGACUCCCGUGACUCAGGCACUGGUCUACGUUUGUACAUGUAAAUUAUAAAUAAUGCUUGGAACUUAGUAUUUUAAAAUUAAAAUCUAAUUCAAUAUAUAUUUGAUUUAUAGUAUUUAAAAUGAGGUUUUUUUUUUUUUAUAAACGAUCCUAUGAAGUUUUAUAAUUACAAAAAUAUUCUUCUACAAAAACUACUUAUAAAAGUAGGCCUCUAAUAUGACAGGUGAGAUAGUUCGCUAAUAAAAUAUUGAAAGUGGUAAAUAAUUUACCAUAUUUAAAAGCAGCCAAGUAUUUACCGUCGAUAAAAGCAGUGAAUAGUUAACCGCCUUUAGUGUAUUUUCCUUACUGGUUUGGGGGAAGCAUUUAAAAACAGUGAAUAAUUAAUCGCUUUUAGAAAAUUAUUUAACUUUUAGAAGACAGUAAACCAUUCAUCGUUUUAUAAAAUGGAGCGAAUGGUUUCACCCCUUUUCUUUAUGUCCUCAUCAUGAUAGCGCCCAUCCGACUAGUUGAAAUCUAUUUUUACACAUAAAAAUUUGAAGGGUCUAGUUUUAGAAUAAAAAUUUUGAAGAAGGCUAUUGGCCUAAAAGCCCAUUUUGAAAGUCUCAUUAUGAUGGCCUAAAAACAACUUCACACUAUGCUAAUUUUUCUUCUUUUUUUUUGUUCUUUUAUUUAUUUGUUGGGUGUACAUGCAUGCAUAAUUAAUUAACAAAAGAUUAUGUGCAUUAUGAUCUCAUGACGCUCAGAUCAUAGGCUCUCUUUAUGUUAUAGGAUAUGCUAAUUAUUUUGCUCUUUAAAAUCGCACUAUUCAUUUCCAACAUACAAUUAAUAACUUAUUGAGUUGUCACGCCAAACGGUCCGUAAACUUCCCUAAAAAAAAAAAACACGAAAAAAGAGAGAAAAUCUUUUUUUUUUUAGUUUUUUAAUAUUUUUUUUUUGAAAAUGAGCCUGUAGGGCUCUUAAAAUAUAAACAUUAUUGAUUAAUAUUUAGCUAAAAGUAUGUUCUUUGUUAGGAAGAGAACACAAUUAUUUGUGAAUUUCUUAGUCAUAUAACUUUGGGGAAAAAUUUUUGGAAUAUCUUUUAGUCAUAUGAUUAUGAAUCCACCAUAUAUAGUUAUUCCAAACAGAGUAUGCCAUAUAAUUGUCACAGGAUAAAGUUAUAAUUAAUUCAUAAAUUAAUCACUCCACAUAAGAGGGAACAAAAAUAGCCAAAACCUUAAUUAAUCAUAUUCUCCUUUUUUUAAUAGAAUUUCUUUUUAGAAUUAACGAAAGAAAUCAUAAUUUUGUUUGGUAAUGAGGAACAGAUCAAAUUCAAUAGAAUAAAAAAAAAGCAAAGUUACAUAUAGAUGACUGACCGUCUCUAGAACAAGUGGCAAAGAGCUUGAUGGUUGGUAUCCGAAACCUAAGUUCGAAUCCUAGUUGAUUCACAUUUCUAGCUCAGUUUAUUUCUAAAUGAAAUAAAUGAAACGGAUAGCGUGCUACAUAUUUCUCAAAAAAAAAAAAGAAAAGAAAAAAAAGUUACACAUAGGUGGUGUAGCCAUGUAAUAAUUCUAUUUCAUUGGAACCGACAAUAUUUGUCUUGGUAUAACCAAACGCCUAGGAGUUGCUAAAUCUUAUUUCAUUGAGAACUCAAUUAAUUCUCUCCUUAAUUUGGCUAUAUAUAAUGCAUGGCUCCGGUGUAGAGUUUACUUAGAACUCACAAUCCAAUUGGAUUCUUAAUUAAACCCUAUUUAUUUUUUAAUAAAUCUAAAUCUCAUGUCAUAUAUCCUAAUUAAAUUGGAAUUUGACUUUAAUUUAAAUAACUAUAAAUUUAAUUUUCUCACUAAUCUAUUAGAUAGCAAUAUUUGUUGAAUAAACUAUCUCAUCUAUUUUACUCUAUUCUUAUCAUGUUAUAUCGUCAAGUCCUUUUUGUUUAGGAUUAACCCCACGGAGUUAAGAACUGACAUUCGCUUUUAUCUUUUUCUUCAAAAUUUUUUUCAAUCUUUUUAAUAAGAGUAAAAUAUAGAAAACUCUAUGUAAAUACUUAUUUUUUUACUUCCUCCACCGACUUAAAAAAAAAAAAAAAUCUAUACAUUACCUCUUCAAAAUUUCAAGUUGAUGCGUUUAAACCCCCUACAUCAAGGUUCCGUCACUAUUCCGUCACUUCCUUAUAAUUUAUACUAAAAAAGCCCUUAAAAUGGCAGAAAUACAGAAAAGAAAAAUUUAUUUUUUUUCUUAAAGAACGAGUAAAAAAAAAUUGAAUCAUUUAUUCCUCUCCAUUCGCACCAAACAUUUCUAAGAUUUUAAGGAGGCAGAAUGUAGAUUUUUUGAAAGUUAGGAAAAAAAAAAAGUGAAAAAAAAAGAGUAUUUAUAGGGGGAGAUUUUCUUUAAUUUUUGGGCAAUGGAUAAAGUUUUAAGGGUACAAAGCAUCCUACAAAUUCAUAAUGCUGUGGGGAAGUAAUUAAUUCUUCGGAAGGCACCACCAACUCAUUCUUGAUACAUCCACUUUUAUGUACAUUAAAUUAAAUAGAAGCAAAAUAAAAUAUGCAGACGAGAUAGACAUCUGCAUCUAGAUCAUCGUUUCCUCAAGCAUGGAUUGUUUAGAAGAUCCGAGACGGAAAAUAUAGAAGCAUCAAGCUCGGCGCUUUGCAAUAAUGAAUUCAGCCACAUGAUGUGGAAUCAGUACUGAAUCCUUUCUGUGACAGGCUUGCCGUCUCGUUUUAACUGGAUAGUAAAAUUCGGGAUGUGGCGAACCCUUGUGCGCCAGUCAUUGCUGUGGUCGCCUUCUCCUUCUCCUAGAAGUAGCUCAACAAGUUCCUCUGCUGGAUAGAAAAUGUUCAAAUCCUGAAGGGUGGUCAGGUACACGAUGCCGAAGGGCAGCUCCUUUAGCUUCCGGCAAUAGGAUAGGUGAAGCUUAUUCAGGCUUGCCAUUGCUCCUCUUUCUAUUUCCACCUGACUGAGAUUCGGGGCAUCUAAUAUUGUCAAUCUCUUUAGCUUCGGGAAAGAUGUUGCUUGGAAGUGCAACUUCAUGCCAUCAUAUGCGCAAGAAAGGUGGAGAAACAUCAACGCAGGCAGCGCUUGCAGGUAAGGAAAUGUAUCUUCAUCCAAUUCUGACUCCAAAAGUUGUAAUUUGGUUAGGUUUGAUAGAGACCCAAAGGAUGCGGCAAGCUCAGAGAAUGAGGUUUUGUCUAAUUUACCGUCCAGCCAUAAUUCUUUAAUUGGCAGAGGUAGGCGCAGGGUGCCCAACUGCUGUAAUUCUUGCCUAAAUACACUUUCGACAGAUAAUUUGCUAAGAUGGUUCAUCUUUGUGAUACUAUUCCACAAGUCUGCACAGUGAUGGGUUCUUACGCCGGUUAUCGCAAAUGUCCGCAACUCUGUCAAAGCUUCUACAUUCCGCACAAUCUUCCUAGUUGCUUCAAUAGAUCCUAAAGUCUGCAAGUCCUUCAAGCGCCAUAUUCCAACGGGUGCCUUGAUGCCCUCGCCAACAUAUUCUGAUAAAACUAGGUGUCUCAACUUAUGAAGCCUCGUUAUUCCCUUCGGCAGCUUUCCUAUUUCACUUUUAUCUGUAUUUAGUAUUUGCAGAUUUUGUAGCUUCCCGAUUGAUCUUGGAAGCUCCUUAAUUUUUGUUUCUCUCAAACCAAGAUAAUGCAGGUUGAAGAGGUUACAGAUUUCACUCGGAACUUUCUCAAUUGGCGCUCCUUGUAGUUCCAAGACACGUAAAAAUUUUGAUGAUCUUAAGACCGACUUCAAUAAAUCAUUCCUCAUGGAAUUGUUGAAAACAAGUACUGAACGCAAAUGAGAUUUUUCUUCAGUACAAUAUUCAGUUAUAUCGCUUAGGAUUGACAAGCGUCGUGCUUUGUAUCCCUGCAAUAUUGUCCUUGAAUGCUCGCAAACCAUGCAGAAACUUAACUCCUUUGACUCCGAACGAGCGAGGACUCGAAUGAUGUCAUGCAUUCGAUAUGCAUAAACUCUACCAACUUCGUUCCACUCAGCCACUUGUAAUAGACAGCGAUGAACAAGUUCGUUAAGGUAGUCCUCGGCCACUUCCUCCAUCGUUCUUUCUCUUUCUUCAAUGAACCCUUCAGCCACCCAAAGCCUUAUGAGCCUGUCACUUUCAAUUGUAUAGUCUUCCGGAAAGCUUGAACAAUAUAAGAAGCAGUUUUGAAGGUAAUGGGGAAGAUCGUCCAAACUAAGUUUCAAAAUGUCAUGUACUUUUCCAUGGAGCUUCGAUUCGUUGUUAGUUAGAUACCACUCAAGAUCUUUGUAAACCUUCUCCCAUUCAGAC
rnacentral:lncRNA from 1 species